rnacentral:rRNA from 1 species
GACGAACGCUGGCGGCGUGCUUAACACAUGCAAGUCGAACGAUGAACUUGGAGCUUGCUCUGGGGGAUUAGUGGCGAACGGGUGAGUAACACGUGAGUAACCUGCCCUGGACUCUGGGAUAACUUCGAGAAAUCGGAGCUAAUACCGGAUAGGACCUUGCACCGCAUGGUGUGGGGUGGAAAGUUUUUCGGUUUGGGAUGGACUCGCGGCCUAUCAGCUUGUUGGUGAGGUAAUGGCUCACCAAGGCGUCGACGGGUAGCCGGCCUGAGAGGGUGACCGGCCACACUGGGACUGAGACACGGCCCAGACUCCUACGGGAGGCAGCAGUGGGGAAUAUUGCACAAUGGGCGCAAGCCUGAUGCAGCAACGCCGCGUGCGGGAUGACGGCCUUCGGGUUGUAAACCGCUUUUAGUAGGGAAGAAGCCUUCGGGUGACGGUACCUGCAGAAAAAGGACCGGCUAACUACGUGCCAGCCGCCGCCGCAGUAA